rnacentral:tRNA from 1 species
AUUUAUGUAGUUUAAAUAAAACAUUAAUUUUGUAAAUUAAAAAUAUUUAUUUCAUAAAUU